UGUAAUAGUGGAGUUUGUUCUACUUAAAAAAUGAGAUGAAUUAUAGGCUUUUAUUGACAAAUAUUGAUAUCUUGAAGUGUGAUAUGAAGUUGCUAAACAAUAUUAUAUAUGGUAGCUAUCUUUAAUGCAUCCUUUACUAAACAUGUUUUUACCUUUAUAUUAGGAAGGGAUACUACAAGCUGCAAACAAAUAUUUACAGGAUAAGAUAGAAGAACAAUACCCUGUAACUAACAUGACAUCGACUUUGACUGACUUUCAAUGCCCACUAACUGUA